UUCUUCUUCUUCUUCUUCUGUAAUAUCUCCUUUAUGCAGCAGGGAGUUUUCCCGUUGUGAAACUUCCAUUUGCCAUGAGCACAAAAUUCUGGAAGAGGGUGAACGAGAUUCAUUAGCAAACGCAAUUUUUCCUUGUAUAUUCACGUUAUUUACCUCGCUUUAUUUUCUUCACAGUGAGCGUCAGUUUUAACUGCAAGGUUUCACGUUCCUUCAUUUCACGUAAAUGAAUUCCUGACUCAGCUCUGCUCCGUUUCUGUAUAUUUUGUAAAUACCUGUGUAAAAUUCAAAAACUUUUCGCACUGUGUAAUUCACGUGUACCUCUCUAGUCUCCCACACACCUACGAAAGACAUCUUCGUUUCUGUAGUGACACUUAAAAUAUCCCAAAUACUAAUAGCUGGAUAAACAUUUUUCAUCAAUAAAGAUUAGAAUUAUCUAGUAUAUUAAAACGUUUAGUGCCAUAGCUAUUUUUGCCAACAGCAUUGAUUUUUGUACUCUUUGGGGAUCUAUUACUGUUCUUGAAGUUUGUCGGUGUCAUACAUGUAAUUUUCUAGCAAUACAUUCUUUAGCAUAUCCAUCAUGUUUCAUUUCUGUGCUCAGAGAUAGGCUGGAAAUUCAACCGAGAGUCAUAAUAAAAAAAAAAAUCCAUUUUUCGUGUAUUCGUUCUUUGGAAGGUUUCCCCGAAAAACAAUCAGAUGAAGGGUGAAAUAUGAUUCUCAGAAAAUCGCAGCGGCUUGGAUUGUUUACUCCAACUUACUUCUUUCAAGUAAUAGCUUAUGAUAAUCAAACUUGUUUACUCGGAAAAUCACCGUAAAGAUAAUAGGUGGACAUUUUUGUGAAAAGUCUCCUUAUAUCACAUGAAUGGACGAUAUUACUCCUUUAAAAAAGGGCAGCGAAAUGGAAAAACUUUCUCCUUGUCUUAACAAGAAGGAAUUGAAUUAAGAGUUCCGACGAACAUCUUAUGACACAAGAAAACAGCUACACAUAACCACUGCAAUUGGACGACAAGAUAAUAUAUCUCACAUAUGUAUUUCUGUAUGGUGAUAGGUUUUGAUUUUGAGGUGUGGAAUUAGGAAACUAAUUUUAGACAGUACAGAUUUUUCAACAAUAAUACAAUAGUGAACUGGACUUAACCGAUGGGCAAGAAAAUUCCUCUUCUGAUAGCCUAGCCGAGUUGAGAGCAGACCGGGAAGAAGCGUAUUUUGAGAGAGAGAGAGAGAGAGAGAGAGAGAGAGAGAGAGAGAGAGAAAGCGCCAAAGAAUGGAGAGAAAGGAGGAAGAGAUAUUACGUUAAAUGGAAGAGGAGAAAUAAAGGCCUGAGGGAUAGAUUGGUGGCUGGGGAGCGGUAGAACCUAAGCUGGCCUGGAUCCGGGUUGGGAAAGGAGUUGGGGGUGUGUGAAUGGGAGUCGAAGGUUCUUCUUCCAGGGAGGGGGAAAGAGCGGUGACGUCCUCCCCCAGUGCGAGCGGUAGUGUCAGUAACGGGGUGAACUCCGCUCUGUAGACAUGUGACCGUGAAGUGCAAACCGUCCUUUUCUCAUCCUGGCGUGACUUCGGUUUUGCCUUCGCUACAAAAUCCGACUCGGCAUAGUUCGCAGGGGAAAUCAGAAAGAUGAUGAGUACCAAACGGAACACAACUGUUGUUGUCAACGUAGUUAUUGUUUCACCUGAAGUGCUCUAUGUACACAAUUUACAGAAUAACACUCAAAUAUACCGCAAAAACCGACCCCAAUAGUAAUUCAAUAACUGUGUAUAUGUACGCCUGUAGAGAAUUGUUGCCGUGGUCUUUAUUUUUCGUGUACUCUUUCAUCUUUCAACUGUGUUAAGAAAAUACGAUCAGUGGAUAAUCAUAUUGUUAUGAAUGAGAUCAUUUUUGUGACUUACUGUGAACUGUUAAAGUCUGCUGAAACUCUCCUGCUGUCCUGUUCUUCUCCUCCAUGCUUAGUGAAGUUCUGCUUUACUUGUGACUAGAAUCUCGUCAAUCUUAGUCUGGACGUGUUUUCCUACACUCCGGUAAAACAGUGCCUUUCUUAUUUACUUCUUGGACGUCUUACCCAUCGAGUGCAUGCCCCCGAAACAGAGAUUAGAUGAGAAAAAGGCAAAGGAAGAACCCAUGGAGAGAGCAGCCAUGUGCCCAAUCAAACAUGCAGUUAUCAUGACGCUGCCUGCAUGACUACAUACCUGCGGUAGGCAGCCGAGAGGGACACCGCUGGAAUGCUGCUGCUGGCCUCCUGAAUAUUGAAUGCCCUAGGAAGAGUCAGCCAUGCCCUGGUCGUGGGGAUCGGUAGGGGGUUGUCUGAGAGGCAGGAGGGCCAGGAAAUCGGCUGCUUAUAGGGCUGCCGUAGCUGAUGCUGCCACAGCUGACGGGCUGGACGUGGCAGCAUCUCCACCACCUUUCCAGGUAUGCGGUGCGCAGCUGAACUGCUUAUGCCAAGUCACA